GGGCGUGGCGGACGGCUGAGUAAUCCGUGGCUAACCUACCCUCGGGACGGGGAUAGCCUCGGGAAACUGAGGCUAAUCCCCGAUAGGUAGGGACUCCUGGAAGGGGCCCUACCGAAAGGGUUGCGCGGGGAUGUCCGCGCAGCCGCCCGAGGAUGGGGCCACGGCCCAUCAGGUAGUUGGCGGGGUAACGGCCCGCCAAGCCUAUAACGGGUAGGGGCCGUGAGAGCGGGAGCCCCCAGAUGGGCCCUGAGACAAGGGCCCAGGCCCUACGGGGCGCACCAGGCGCGAAACCUCCGCAAUGCGGGAAACCGUGACGGGGUCACCCCGAGUGCCCCGAAGAGGGGCUUUUCCCCGCUGUAAAAAGGCGGGGGAAUAAGCGGGGGGCAAGUCUGGUGUCAGCCGCCGCGGUAAUACCAGCCCCGCGAGUGGUCGGGACGGUUAUUGGGCCUAAAGCGCCCGUAACCGGCCCGGUAAGUCCCUCCUUAAAGCCCCGGGCUCAACCCGGGGACGGGGGGGAUACUGCCGGGCUACGGGGCGGGAG
rnacentral:rRNA from 1 species